CCCCUCCCUUCUUCCUUGUAGUUGAGUCGCAUUUCCUCUGCCAUGUCCUCACGCAGCUGCUUCAAGAGAGGAAAAGUUUCACAGAAGUCCUGCUUAAUUGGCCAUAUCAAAUAAAAGGGCCUUUCCUCCACAAAGUUUUGGUGCCCAGCCGGUGGGGCUAGAGGAACACUCAUUUCCAGAUCCCGGAGAACCUGGAGAGAACAUCGGAAGGCAUGCCCCGUUGAGUUCAACGGUCUGAUCUCAAACUCCAGGGACCAAAGUCUGGAAUUGAUGCUAGCUUCCAUGGAACCAAAUAGAAGUUGCUAGGAAAACGACGGAAGGAGGGAUCAGCGAAUUACCGGCCUCAGUGACUGGGCAACUUUGUGCACAAACCUAGAGUCUCUGGUGAACCCAGGGGGAAAUGAGAGUUUUCGUUAUUCAAGAACUGCAGGGAACUGAAUACUUGGACACAGGCAGUUCAGUAAAGACCUUUAACCCACUACAGUGUGUGUGUGUGAGCGAGUGGGACAGCGCAGUUUCAUAUGAUGCCAGUCUGCUUCUGGGUCCAGUUCAAAAUAUUGGUUAUGACUUUUAAAAACCUACAUGGCAAGGAGCCAAAGUACCUACAAGCCAUCUUAACCCCAUUACUUCGGCACAUCCCAUCCUGUCAAGCAGGGACGGACUCUGCUGUGGACUCCAUCACCUAAAAAUUCCCACUGGCAGCAACCAAGAAGAGUUCCUUCUCUGCCAUUGCCCCAUUCUCUCCCCUGAGGUGAGGUGGACCCUCCUCUCCUGGCCUAUCAGAAAUGUGUAAAAACAUAGCCCUGUGGUCUUCCUUGGGGCACACAGAAGAACAUGCCACUAUAGAGGUAGUUAGCACCCUGAAAGUCAUCUCCCUGCCUUUUAAUUAAUUUUUCAUAUUCAUUUUUACUCCAUUCUUGCCUUUUUAAAUUGCAAUUUUUAUUUAUAAAAUUUUUAUGUUUUAAUAUUUUUUACUUGUACACUAUCCCAUCUAUCUCUUAGGGAGGGGAACAGUUUUAAAAAAUUCAUAAAUAAAUAAACCCUUUUAAGUAUCUCCAUUAAAUUUAUAUAUAUGGUUGAACUUGGCUUAACUAUUUUUCUUUUCCUUUCUUUUCUUUUUUCUUUUCUCUUUUCUUUCUUUUUUUAUAGUGAUAGGAAAGUGCCAAAUUGAUUGAAAAAACAGAUGCUUCCCUUAAAUUUGAUUUCAGGUCCAAGACUAGAAGACAUUGCAGACUAGAAGGAAAGCUUCUCUCUGAAAUCCUAGGGACACACUGCCAAUCCUAGUCAACAUCAAUGAAUUAGUUGAACACGAUUCAGUGGGAGACAGCUCCCCAAAUCACAAUUGAUGUUUAUUUUCGGUUGAUCCUACAUGAGAGAACUUUUCUAUAAUUCAUUGGAUUUUCUUACCUUUCUGCAAAGUUUCUUCAAGUUUUUUAGCAACAUCAUUUUUACAACAUCUGUAAAGAAUCUGAUGAAACAAAGGGUUCAAGAAGAACGGACACCUUGCCAUUUUACCACCAAAAUGUAGGUUUAAACCUGAGAUUAUGCAUGGAGAUUCAUCUUUCUACAGUAAAUAUAGAAAACAUAACUAAAUUUAUCAUGGUAAAGUUCUUGAGAAGCCCAAUCCAACAUGACUUUUUGGGCCAUUGUGGUUUUUCCAAUUCCUGCAGCUCCUUGCAACACAACAAUUUGUGGAAUUAGUCCACAUUUAUCAGGGUUAAAUAACAUUUCAAUGCUGGUUGAAGACUGGGCUCUCUUGCUGAUGAUUUCAAUAUGUUUCCUUCCUGUUCUAGAAUUUCAUGUUCUCUUUCCUUUUGAGACAGUUGACAAUCUAGGAUGAUUAGCUUUGAGUUUCUCUGAUUUAGGGGAACAUAUUCACCAAGAAUAGAAUUAGGAUCUUCAAUCAUUUGAAAUUUUUUUUUUUAACAUGGCUUCUGUAAUCUAAAGCAAGAAAAAAAUCAAAUUACAAGUGUCAAAAAUAAGGCCUACAAAAGACACUCAAUUAAAUUUUUGUUGCUGGGUCUUCUCCUUGAAGCCCCCCCCCCCAUCUAUCCUCUGGAUUAAUGUGUUUACAGGAAUUGCAGGAUACUCUAUUAAUUAAUCAAAAUAGGAAUUGAUUUCAAUAGGCAAACAUUUGUUAAUCAAUACAUUACAUAAUUAUUAUUUAUUAACUAUUUAGUUGUUCUUUUUCUACAUAAUAUUUCUGUAAUAAUUGCAAUAAACACUAGUAUAUAAA